UACGAAGGGGGCUAGCGUUGUUCGGAAUCACUGGGCGUAAAGGGCGCGUAGGCGGCCAUAUAAGUCGGGGGUGAAAGCCUGUGGCUCAACCACAGAAUUGCCUUCGAUACUGUAUGGCUCGAGACCGGAAGAGGUAAGUGGAACUGCGAGUGUAGAGGUGAAAUUCGUAGAUAUUCGCAAGAACACCAGUGGCGAAGGCGGCUUACUGGUCCGGUUCUGACGCUGAGGCGCGAAAGCGUGGGGAGCAAACAGG
rnacentral:rRNA from 2 species